rnacentral:rRNA from 1 species
AUUGAACGCUGGCGGCAUGCUUUACACAUGCAAGUCGAACGGUAACAGGGACUUCGGUCUGCUGACGAGUGGCGAACGGGUGAGUAACAUAUCGGAACGUGCCCAGUAAUGGGGGAUAGCUCGGCGAAAGCCGGAUUAAUACCGCAUACGCCCUGAGGGGGAAAGUGGGGGAUCUUCGGACCUCACGUUAUUGGAGCGGCCGAUAUCAGAUUAGCUAGUUGGUGGGGUAAAGGCCUACCAAGGCGACGAUCUGUAGCUGGUCUGAGAGGAUGAUCAGCCACACUGGGACUGAGACACGGCCCAGACUCCUACGGGAGGCAGCAGUGGGGAAUUUUGGACAAUGGGCGAAAGCCUGAUCCAGCCAUGCCGCGUGAGUGAAGAAGGCCUCGGUUGUAAGACGUCUUCUAGUGGAAGAAAGACGGAGUGAGUAAUACUUAGUCCGGAUGACGGUACCGACCACGAAGAAGACACCGG